rnacentral:rRNA from 1 species
AUUAGAUAAAAGGUCGACGCAGGCUCUGCCUGUUGCUUUGAUGAUUCAUGAUAACUCGUCGGAUCGCACGGCCCUUGUGCUGGCGACGCAUCAUUCAAAUUUCUGCCCUAUCAACUUUCGAUGGUAAGAUAGUGGCUUACCAUGGUCUCAACGGGUAACGGGGAAUUAGGGUUCUAUUCCGGAGAGGGAGCCUGAGAAACGGCUACCACAUCCAAGGAAGGCAGCAGGCGCGCAAAUUACCCAAUCCCAAUUCGGGGAGGUAGUGACAAUAAAUACUGAUACGGGGCUCUUUCGGGUCUCGUAAUUGGAAUGAGUACAAUCUAAAUCCCUUAACGAGGAACAAUUGGAGGGCAAGUCUGGUGCCAGCAGCCGCGGUAAUUCCAGCUCCAAUAGCGUAUAUUAAAGUUGUUGCCGUUAAAAAGCUCGUAGUUGAACCUUGGACCUGGCUGAUCUGUCCUCCUAAUCGAGCGCACGGAUUCGGUCGGGUCUUUCCUUCUGGGGAGCCCUAUGCCCUUCACUGGGUGUAGUGGGGAACCAGGACUUUUACCUUGAAAAAAUUAGAGUGUUCAAAGCAGG